rnacentral:rRNA from 1 species
AUUGAACGCUGGCGGCAUGCCUUACACAUGCAAGUCGAACGGCAGCGGACCUUCGGGUGCCGGCGAGUGGCGAACGGGUGAGUAAUGCAUCGGAACGUGCCAUUGAGUGGGGGAUAACGUAGNGAAACCCCCCGUUAGCUAAUACCGCAUAUUCUGUGAGCAGGAAAGCAGGGGACCGCAAGGCCUUGCGCUCUUUGAGCGGCCGAUGUCAGAUUAGCUAGUUGGUGAGGUAAAGGCUUACCAAGGCGACGAUCUGUAGCGGGUCUGAGAGGAUGAUCCGCCACACUGGAACUGAGACACGGUCCAGACUCCUACGGGAGGCAGCAGUGGGGAAUUUUGGACAAUGGGCGCAAGCCUGAUCCAGCCAUGCCGCGUGAGUGAAGAAGGCCUGGUGUAAG